rnacentral:lncRNA from 1 species
AUUGAAAAGCAUCCACGCAAGUGAGAAAGUGAUUUCCUAUUUCAAAAGAACCACAGAGCCUUCAACAACCACUUCAACGUUCAACACUACAGAUUCAACCAGAAAAAAUUCUUCUUUCUGUUACGAGAAACCUGAACGCGGACGUUGUAGAGCCAGCUUAGAAAGGUGGUACUACGACUACAAUUCUAGUAUCUGCUCCGUGUUCUCCUACGGUGGCUGUGGGGGAAAUAACAAUCGCUUUGAUAGUUGUCUGGAAUGCAUGGAGCUUUGCAAUGGUGGAACAAAUUUAACGCAGAUAUGUGCAGAG